rnacentral:rRNA from 1 species
AACGAACGCUGGCGGCAGGCCUAACACAUGCAAGUCGAACGCUCCGCAAGGAGAGUGGCAGACGGGUGAGUAACACGUGGGAAUCUUCCUAUCGGUACGGAAUAGCUCAGGGAAACUUGAGGUAAUACCGCAUACGCCCUUCGGGGGAAAGAUUUAUCGCCGAUAGAUGAGCCCGCGUCUGAUUAGCUAGUUGGUGGGGUAAUGGCCCACCAAGGCGACGAUCAGUAGCUGGUCUGAGAGGAUGACCAGCCACACUGGGACUGAGACACGGCCCAGACUCCUACGGGAGGCAGCAGUGGGGAAUAUUGGACAAUGGGCGCAAGCCUGAUCCAGCCAUGCCGCGUGAGUGACGAAGGUCUUCGGAUUGUAAAGCUCUUUUGCCAGGGACGAUAAUGACGGUACCUGGAGAAUAAGCCCCGGCUAACUUCGUGCCAGCAGCCGCAGUAAUAC